rnacentral:rRNA from 1 species
GAUGAACGCUGGCGGCGUGCCUAAUACAUGCAAGUCGAGCGAACAGAUGAGGAGCUUGCUCCUCUGACGUUAGCGGCGGACGGGUGAGUAACACGUGGAUAACCUACCUAUAAGACUGGGAUAACUUCGGGAAACCGGAGCUAAUACCGGAUAAUAUAUUGAACCGCAUGGUUCAAUAGUGAAAGACGGUUUUGCUGUCACUUAUAGAUGGAUCCGCGCCGCAUUAGCUAGUUGGUAAGGUAACGGCUUACCAAGGCAACGAUGCGUAGCCGACCUGAGAGGGUGAUCGGCCACACUGGAACUGAGACACGGUCCAGACUCCUACGGGAGGCAGCAGUAGGGAAUCUUCCGCAAUGGGCGAAAGCCUGACGGAGCAACGCCGCGUGAGUGAUAAGGUCUUCGGAUCGUAAAACUCUGUUAUUAGGGAAGAACAAAUGUGUAAGUAACUAUGCACGUCUUGACGGUACCUAAUCAGAAAGCCACGGCUAACUACGUG